rfam:Danio rerio chromosome 14 genomic contig CTG1748, GRCz11 reference primary assembly.
ACCGGCAGCUAGCUCUCUACAACACUCACAUAGUCACCCACUGAAGCUAAUCAGGGCAGCGUCUGGUCAGUACCUGGAUGGGAGACCACAUGGGAAAGCUAGAUUGUUGCCGGAA